CAACCUUCAAGCACUGCUUGGUCUUGGGCUCCGCCGCUAACCCGGCGGGCCUCAAAACGAGUGGCGGCGCCAUCAGGCUCUGAGCGUAGUAGAUUUCCUCGCUACGGAGUCCUGGUGACGGUGGUCAUCAAACCCCAACUCUCUAA
rnacentral:misc_RNA from 1 species